AGAGUUUGAUCCUGGCUCAGGAUGAACGCUAGCUACAGGCUUAACACAUGCAAGUCGAGGGGCAGCAUGUUGGUUGCUUGCAACCAAUGAUGGCGACCGGCGCACGGGUGAGUAACGCGUAUCCAACCUACCCUUGUCCAUCGGAUAACCCGUCGAAAGGCGGCCUAACACGAUAUGCGGUUCACAGCAGGCAUCUAAGGUGAACGAAAUGUGAAGGAGAAGGAUGGGGAUGCGUCUGAUUAGCUUGUUGGCGGGGUAACGGCCGACCAAGGCUACGAUCAGUAGGGGUUCUGAGAGGAAGGUCCCCCACACUUGGAACUGAGACACGGUCCAAACUCCUACGGAGGCA
rnacentral:rRNA from 1 species